rfam:Dipodomys ordii contig_31832, whole genome shotgun sequence.
GGGAACGUGGCUCAGUGGUAGAGUGCUUGCCUUGCAUGCAUGAGGCCCUGGGUUCGAUUCCUCAGCACCA